rnacentral:misc_RNA from 1 species
ACGAGUUAGGGUCUUUUGGCCCGAUCUCCCAACCCUUUGUAUAAUUGACCUCAUGUUGCUUCGGCGAGCCCGUCUCUUUUAGGGACCGCCGGAGGGUCGUUCACGCGCCCUCUGGCCCGCGCUCGUCGAUGGCCCCCUUUAAACUCUUUACAAAACGUGUCUUGAUCUGAGUUAUAAACCAAAAAUUAAAGCAA